AGAUUGUAGGCUGAAACUCGCCUAUAUGAAGUCGGAAUUGCUAGUAAUCGCGGAUCAGCAUGCCGCGGUGAAUACGUUCCCGGGCCUUGUACACACCGCCCGUCACACCAUGAGAGUCGAUAACACCCGAAGCCUGUAGUCUAACAGCAAUGAGGACGCAGUCGAAGGUGGGAUUGAUAAUUAGGGUGAAGUCGUAACAAGGUAAC
rnacentral:rRNA from 1 species